rfam:Orchesella cincta Ocin01_Sc0221, whole genome shotgun sequence.
CCAACGGCCCUUUUAAGGGCCACCAAACUUUUCGAAGAGCUGCAAU